rnacentral:hammerhead_ribozyme from 1 species
AUUCAUCUGACGAGUCCAAAAUAGGAUAACACACGCGUCCUGUAU